UCAUAAGUGCAAUUACAGGUAUGAUCAUUUAGAUCAUUUACACCUUACAUCUUACUGUGAAGGAUAUUUUGAGGGAUUGUUUUCUCAUCCCCUUUCUUUUAUAUAGGCCCUUCCAAUCACAUGAUGCGAGCGCGGAUUACACGAACUCGUGAGUGGGUCAGCUGUGUCAGAGAUCAAGUGAGAGAUCUUAUUAUUCCUCUUGAAAGUACCUCAAAAACUCAUGUCUUGUCUAGCUAGGUUCUCUAAAGAUAGCCCUGUUCCUAUUUAUCAGUAGAGAUAGGAGUGGACCGUCCGAUGGCAGCUUGUUUGAGAGAGCAAGUUCAACCCGGCCUUGGACCCAAGUUGGAGAGAGGAGCUCAUAGUCAUACGGAAACAACAACAACAGAUUUUGAUACAGAAGAUGGCAGAGCGGACUGCACACAUGGACCUGAACUUCUUGACCACAGCAUGAACUUGAUGAAGUAGUGGUGGAAGAAUUCACAUGGUAUAACCUCCUUGGGCAGCAGGGGUAGGCAGCAGUCAGUUAGUCUUCACACUGCUCUUCCAUGCGGCUGAGCUGCUCUGUCCAGUGGGUCAACCCCGGCCCUGUGAGACUGCACACCUUCAUGUCCCUCCUAACACACUCCAUCUAAUAAGUUUUUCUCGGUCUACCACGACCCCUGUUGCCUGACGCUUUCAGUUUGGUGAUGGUGUUACUAGUGAUGCAGUCACUUGAUCUUUCUACGUGUCCA